rnacentral:tRNA from 1 species
AGCCUUAUAGUCAUAUAAAUGAUAUUAAAUUGCAAAUUUAAAGGUAAAUUUUAAUUUUAAGGCUU